GCGGCGGAGGGCCGGCAGCCGUCUGGCCCGCGCAGCCCUGGCGCGAGGCAGCAGCGCCAGACUGCCCCGCGCGUUCCCGAGUGUUCCCGGCCGCCGCUGCGGGGAGCGGGGCGCGGGAGGGCGGCUGGGCACGGACACCCCUGGGGGACACCACACCGCAGCCUGUGGGGGACCCACGCCAUGCAAGGACACCCCAGUGCAACCUGUGGCUGACCCAUGCCAUGGCAAGGACAUCCAUGGAGGACACCCCACUGCAGCCUGUGGGUGACCCACGCUGGCACACCCUGACUGAGGGCCCACCGCCUGCAGGAACACACGCUGAGGCCAGGACACCCCGAGAGGUGCAGGACUGCUGAGGAACCACAGUAAGGUGCCCAGAGCAGCGGAAACACGUCAGGGGCAGUGGGAGGCACACGCCGGCUGCUUCCUGCGAGAGCGUUUGCACAGCUCCUCUGCAGCACCAUCACUGAGCUGGUCCAUGUCCCCCUUGCACCCAGCAGAGCACGAGUGGCACGGUGCAAGGAGGGAGCAGGGGAGAGCACAGCUCCACCUCCUCUGCUGAGCACCAGGGAUCAGCUGCACAGCAUCGCUCCUCACCUGCCUCAGGAGCACAAUGGGGGCUCUGGCCUCUGCUGCUGAAUGGCAGAGCAAGGGUGUCUCCAGUGACUUCUCUGUUCGGAAGCCGCCUUUGGAUGAGACGGGCUGAGAUCCUGGGAUCAGCGUGGAGGCCGUUUGAUUCAAAGCAACUUGGCCACUGAACACCUUGGUCCUACCCCAACCCCUCCAAGAACCCAACAGGCUGAAGCGCAUCUGAAACGUCACCUUGGAAAGCAAUGCUGCGUGUCGCGCCCUCGGUGUCCUGUUCCUCCCUCUGAGCAUCCAUUAACUUUGGCAGGUCCCACGAGACAGCCACCACCCCUGGAAUUCCACUACUGCUCUCAUGCUGACAUCUGGGUUGGUGCUGGGCAACCACUAUCGCCUGACUACGAGCACCAGCUAAUCCAGGAUGCCAUCGUAUUUCCAGAGUCCCCUGCACCUGGAGAAGCAUUUUUUCCAGAAGCCACUGGCAGUCACAGGUGUUCAGCCCAUCUCCACACAGCGCAGCCCCGAGCCCCAGGCUCAGGCUGUGUUUGUUUAAAAGCCCCGCAGAGGAUGAGCAAAGUCAUCUGUCCUAAUUCCCGACGGCGCAUUUUACCAGCGCAGGGUUUUCUUCACGAGAAUAUUAUUCCUCAAUAUUUCCUGUUGUUUUCACCCAGCUUGUUUAUGGCAAAUAGACCCUUGAGAUACAGUCCUUUUGUCCGGGAAAGCUUUAAUGAUCUCAGCGUCAUUGUGUUGGCAUCAGUUUAAUUCCAGCUGCUAUAAGCUGGCAAGCUGAUGAGAAGAGAUGUGUUUAUGGGAUCUCCGGCUAUUUUGCUGUGGUGUGCGGUACUGUGCUAACACAGACUUACAGGGCCUUGCAGGGCCAUUAAUUAAAGGCACUCUGGAAAGCUAUCACUAAUCACUUUGCAGGUAUCAGAGGGGUGAGCCUUGGGAAAAGUAACCCUGCCCUGCAGCGGGGUGUGUUUCUCUAAGGAUGCCACCAUUUCCAGGCUGGGAUUUGGAGCAUCUCCCUGUCAAAUCCCUGCUGGCACUGGAUUUUAUGGCAGCUUUCUCACCUCUGAGCUCUGGUGGCUUUGCCUGGCAGAUCAUCCUGCCUCACUGAGAGUGCAGCAUCAUUUUCCAUACCCCAGCUGUACAACCCAGUUGUCUCAGGCAAUGCCUGGAGCUUUAAUUGGGGCUGGAUGUGAGGAUGAGGAUGCUGGAAGGGAUUGCAUGCAGCUGUAUGGUUGCUUGCCGUCAUUUAGCUGGGAGUGCAUACCGUGGUGUGAAAGAGGGUAAACAAAACACAUCUUGGCCAAUUCUAACCAGUUUGUCCCUGUGAGCCGCACGUGCCAGACCUUGGCUGCUGCCAGGCUUCUCGGAAGGCUUGUCCAUGCAGGGACUCGCUGGAAAAUUAAUUUGAAUUAAGCAAAAGCCUGAAUUUCCCGUGGAUUUGCUAAACUGCAUUAAACCCCAAUGUGAAUUAUGUUAAAUGAAAUUAAAACUACAUUAAUUU